UAUAGUGAAUAUAAUUACACCGAUGGAGUAAGUGUAUCAUUUGCAUUUUCAUUCGUUGAAUGCAAAGGGCGAGAAAAUCAUGGUAUUGCGCCUCCACACUUUAAAGUGAAAAAGUGCGGAAUCCACGUUCUAUAUAGCAAAGAUUUAAAGAAAUGCAAUUUAACUCCUUCUCAGGCAAAAAAGAAGGCAAGAAACAAAUCAGCUGCAACCCUUGACAAGCCUAAAUCAUGAGGCCUGACUGAGACGGAUGAAUUUGCAACCGUUGACGAGCCUGAAUCAUCAAGUCCGGCCGAAAGAGAUGAAUUUACAACCUUCGAUGAGCCUGAAUCAUUGAGCUCGACCAAGACAAAUGAACUUACAACCCUCAACGAGCCUGAAUCAUCGAGCCUAACUGAGACAGAUGAAAUUACAUAUUCAUCAUGUGAUCGCUGUUGAUUAUUUUCUUCCAGUAAUGGAUGAAUGACAACUCAAUUUUGAGGAGUAUUGCAUUGGGAGACUUGCCUCAAGAUAUCAAAACUGGUUUUGCGAAAAAGAAUAUCAGAACACGUAAUCACCCAAAGAACAGAGAGAAAUUGGCAGAGGAAAGAUUAUAUGAUCAGACUGCUCAUUGUGGACUGCUUUAAACGAACUUACUGGAGAAGCUGCUCUUCUGAGGGUAACUUGAGAGGAAAACCAGAUUUCACC